CAGUAGCCGCGGGAAUACGGAGGGGGCUAGCGUUGUUCGGAAUUACUGGGCGUAAAGCGCACGUAGGCGGCUUGGUAAGUUAGAGGUGAAAGCCCGGAGCUCAACUCCGGAAUUGCCUUUAAGACUGCCGAGCUAGUAGGUGAGAGAGGUAAGUGGAAUUCCGAGUGUAGAGGUGAAAUUCGUAGAUAUUCGGAAGAACACCAGUGGCGAAGGCGGCUUACUGGCUCAUUCUAGACGCUGAGGUGCGAAAGCGUGGGGAGCAAACAGGAUUAGAUACCCCGGUAGUCCCUGUCUCUUAUAA
rnacentral:rRNA from 1 species